rnacentral:rRNA from 1 species
GACGAACGCUGGCGGCGUGCUUAACACAUGCAAGUCGAACGGAAAGGCCCUGCUUGCAGGGUGCUCGAGUGGCGAACGGGUGAGUAACACGUGGGUGAUCUGCCCCUUACUUUGGGAUAAGCCUGGGAAACUGGGUCUAAUACUGGAUAGGACCAUGCUGUAGGUGGUGUGGUGGAAAGAUUAGUUUCGGUAAGGGAUGAGCUCGCGGCCUAUCAGCUUGUUGGUGGGGUAAUGGCCUACCAAGGCGUCGACGGGUAGCCGGCCUGAGAGGGUGGACGGCCACAUGGGGACUGAGAUACGGCCCAGACUCCUACGGGAGGCAGCAGUGGGGAAUAUUGCACAAUGGGCGCAAGCCUGAUGCAGCGACGCCGCGGGGGGGAUGACGGCCUUCGGGUUGUAAACUCCUUUCAGCCAUGACGAAGCCCUUGUGGUGACGGUAGUGGUAGAAGAAGCACCGGCUAACUACGUG